rnacentral:misc_RNA from 1 species
GAUGAAAAACGUAGCGAAAUGCGAUACUUGGUGUGAAUUGCAGAAUCCCGUGAACCAUCGAGUCUUUGAACGCAAGUUGCGCCCGAAGCCAUCAGGUUGAGGGCACGUCUGCCUGGGCGUCACAUAUCGUUGCCCAAUGCCUAUUGCAGUGCAAUAGGAAUUUCUAGGGCGAAUGAUGGCUUCCCGUGAGCGUUGUUGCCUCGCGGUUGGUUGAAAAUCGAGUCCUUGGUAGGGUGUGCCAUGGUAGAUGGUGGUCGAGUUAGAACGAUACCGAUCAUGUGCAUGCUCCCCAAAAUAUGGCCUCUAUGACCCACACGCGUCUUUUGACGCUCAUGACGAGACCUCAGGUCAGGCGGGGCUACCCGCUGAAUUUAAGCAUAUCAAUAAGCGGAGGA